ACACACUCCGGGUAGCCGGCACUUUUUAGUGUGGAUUGGAGCUCCCAACGCCAACAGACCAACAGUAUCAGUCAGACCUGUGAAGGGACCACAACUCUCAACAAACAUCUACAUCCAUCUACAAACAACUUUAUAGCCCCCACCGCUCUUUCCUUCCCAUAUUUUCCCUUAUUCCCUCCUGUUUAUCCCUUUCUCCCUCCAACCUGUGACAUUCAAAACCAUGUGCCUUGCUUAGAGAGAGAUAAGAACGCUAGCAGUGUUGUGACAGAUCGGUUCUGUUAUUGUUGAGAAAGUGUGGUGAUAGUUUUCGUUUUGAAUGUUUUGAAGUGAACUGGUAAUGGUUUGUUAGGUGGUGAUAGAGUGACAAGGAGAUUUGGUGAUAACACACUAUUCAAGUGAAGAGAGAAGUCGUUUCAAAAAGAUCAGAAAUGGGGCACAUAAUUUUGACAACUCACAGCCUAAUUUGGGUCCUGCUGACCAUCACUGCGACUCUAGCUGUAUUCUCAGGCCUUGUAUCUCCUGAAUGGCUUCAAAGUCAGACUCCAGUAAUGUAUGCAAACAACACACUGUAUAUGAUACCAUCCAUCGGUAUAUUCAACCGAUGUAUCAAACUGAAUAACCAGAAGAAUUGUGCCUCAUUUGCCAUCGAUGGAUUAUCAACCAGUUCGCAUAGUUUUCCCACAUUAUGGAAGACAUCUCUGAUUAUGUUCGUUCUGGGUUUGGCCAUCAUGGUAUUCACAGUAAUGACAGCCGUACUGAGUUGCUGUGUGCAAAGUGUCUACAAGAAGAGUAUUUUCACGGUCACUGGUACCGUGCAAGCAGUAGCUGGUAUUUUUUAUUUGUUGGGACUGAUAACGUAUACUGCCGGUUGGGGGUGCCCUAGGAUGGUGAAACUUUGUGGUGAAGAGUCAGGUCCAUUUAGUAAAGGAAAUUGUUCAAUUGGCCCGUCCUUAUAUACAGCUUUAGUUGGCACAGGACUCACCUUCCUUACUGCUGUAUUAUCGGUUAAAGCAGAAAAAACUACAUCCAGCGAUAGAGUGAGCCAUCAUGUCGAGAAAGGAGAAACUAUAGUAUGUUUACUGUAAAAAACGAACAUAUAAUUAUCCAAGGAGAAGCGAAAAGGAGGGUUCUUAUCUAAUGAUUGAUAGUUUUUAUUCUUGAAUUUCAAAAUCAGUCAUGGGAAUGUACCGUACGUUAUUUGAGAAUGUGCUUCAGCUAUCAUUGUCUAGCAUUUUAUAAACAUAUAAGAAUCCCAGAUUACGUACUAUUUCAUUUCAUUGUAUCAUAUAGUUUUUUAUAAUCAGAGGGACCACAAAAAAGAACUUACUGUUAACAUCAACGAGGUUGAGUUACAUUAUUUUCAGACUGCUAUAUUGGAUAUCUGAAAUUUCUAUUUGAAAUUCUGAGAAAAUUAAAUAAGCUAAUAUUCUUGAAAGCCACUUUUACUCUCAUACUUGUAGUAAAAUGAUUGAUUUUAUACUUGAAUAAUGUAAAGAACCAGUAGUAUCUGGGCAACUAUACAGAUACGGUAAUAGUUUACACUUCAAUUGAAUCUAAAUGAGAAUUCAGAAAUAUAUUUUCAUAUCAUAGAUAUGCACAUUAUUAAUUUCCCAAAAAUAAUGGUUCAACUUCUAACACAGUCUCAGAUUCAUUUCUGUCUUCCAAGUCUUAUUGAAUAUUCAAUUUGAUUAACUUUGUUACUUUGUAACCUUAAUACAUUGGAUACUUGAAAAUGUGACUUGUAAAAAUACUUGAGAAACUAUGACCAUUCCAAAAAGAAUGGACAUUUCUUUUCUCGUUCAAGCAUUGAUGUCUAUCAUAACUAAAUCCAUUCCACAUAAGUUCAAGAAUUUCAAUCAGGCAUCAUGAGUUUUAUUUCUUGUUUUUAAAAUCUUUGAGAAAAAUAGUUAUUGUGAAAUUAGUACAAAUAAUUGAGAAAUAAGAGUGCCUCAAUAUAUGACAAAC
rnacentral:misc_RNA from 1 species